GACGAACGCUGGCGGCGUGCCUAAUACAUGCAAGUAGAACGCUGAAGGAGGAGCUUGCUUCUCUGGAUGAGUUGCGAACGGGUGAGUAACGCGUAGGUAACCUGCCUGGUAGCGGGGGAUAACUAUUGGAAACGAUAGCUAAUACCGCAUAAGAGUAGAUGUUGCAUGACAUUUGCUUAAAAGGUGCAAUUGCAUCACUACCAGAUGGACCUGCGUUGUAUUAGCUAGUUGGUGGGGUAACGGCUCACCAAGGCGACGAUACAUAGCCGACCUGAGAGGGUGGUCUGCCAAACUGGGACUGGGGAACGGGCCAGAACCCGUCGGGAGGCAGCAGGAGGGGAACUUCGGGCAAGGAGGGAAGUCUGACCGAGCAACGCCGGGUUGGUGAAGAAGGUUUUCGGGUCGUAAAACUCUGUUGUUUGGGAAGGACGAGUGUGAGAGUGGAAAGUUCACACUGUGACGGUAUCUUACCAGAAAGCGACGGCUAACUACGUG
rnacentral:rRNA from 1 species